UUGCUAAAUGUGGACUGAAAGAAGUAAUGUGGCAUAUGUUAGGUUAUGGGGAUACCAGUGGGGCCUAAUGCUGUGUAUAGCAGUGAACAGAUCCUUACUGACGAUGGUGAUCAUUGGAGGUAUAAAUACUGAAGGAUACGUCAUUUACAGACAAGAUCUUUGAAGUUUAUUUCCUUCAGACAGCAGUGGAAGAAGAGGCUAAAAUCAAAACAUAACAGACAGAAAAACAUAAAGACUAGAAGAAACAGCACUUCACUUUUUCUUUCCAAAUAUUCAGAGAACCACCAAAAUCUGGUGGAUUACCUCCACCCAUCUUCUGGAUUUGAGAUUUUUCCAGCAUGCAGCCCAUGACUGUGAUUUGAAAGGCACACUUUUGGAGGAGCAUUUCUCAAUUCUGCCACAGGAAUCACCAAGGUUGGAAGAGACCUCCCAGAUCAUCUGGUCCAAUCAGUCUUGAGACCUGGUAGUUCCUAGUAGGCAAAGAAGAAUUGAGAGGCAGCCUAAAAGGGGAGUGAGAACAAGAAUUUCAGGAAGGGAAAAGCAAUAUAGAGCCUGUUGAAUUAGCCACGAAAAUUCUCUUAGAUCACCAUGUAAAACUCUUUUGGGGGUCACAUAAGACACUGACAGUGUAUGCCGUGUGAUACUAGCAGGUUUGUAAAUGGAAUAUGUGCAGCAAAGGUAAUUUUUUUCCCAGCAGAAAGUUUAAUUACAUCUUUGCUUACACGUUUCCAUUUCUGUAUGUUCAGUACAGACAAUUCUUAUAAUUAAUGUAUUGUUACUAUUUUGUUUAGAUGCUAUAAGUUAAAAACCAGGUUAUUUAUUUGAAUUCAUUUUAGUAAUGCUUUUUUGUCAAAUUCUUGAGGCCUUUAAUAGAGGCUUCUUUUACUGAUGCUACUUAAAUCUUCAGUAUUGUCCACGUGACCUAGUUAUUUUAAGCCCUGGUAUGACAUAGCUUUCAUUGUUGGGCUGUUUCAUCCAUCUAUUGAAAUUGUUUCCAGUAAAUCAGUUUUACAUUGUUUGCUGUGCUUUUGCUUUAGCAAAGCCUCUACAAAAAUCUCUCUUAUCGAUACCUUUCAAUGUGAUUAAACAUUAAUAAGUAAUUUUAUCUGAAGAAUAUUAAAUGCACAGUAAAAAUGUAAUCUAAAAUAUAUUUGUAUGCAAACCAUUU
rnacentral:lncRNA from 7 species